UACUUGAGGAAGUAAGUCGCUGUUCAGGU
rnacentral:piRNA from 1 species